AAGACUUUAAGUUAAACAAACUAAUAUCCUUCAAAGCUAUAAAUAAAGUUAAUUCAACUUUAAGUCUUA
rnacentral:tRNA from 1 species